rnacentral:rRNA from 1 species
UUGGAGGGCAAGUCUGGUGCCAGCAGCCGCGGUAAUUCCAGCUCCAAUAGCGUAUAUUAAAGUUGUUGCAGUUAAAAAGCUCGUAGUUGAAUUCCGGGAUCAGAUUGUCGGUCGUGCCUCGGUACGCACUGGCAUUAUUGGUUCCUACCUUCUGAAGAACCGCGAUGUCAUUAAUUUGGUGUCGUGGGGAAUCAGGACUGUUACUUUGAAAAAAUUAGAGUGUUUAAAGCAAGCUAACGCUUGAAUACAUUAGCAUGGAAUAAUGAAAUAGGACGUUCGAUCCUAUUUUGUUGGUUUCUAGGAUUGACGUGAUGAUUAAUAGGGAUAGUUGGGGGCAUUAGUAUUCAAUUGUCAGAGGUGAAAUUCUUGGAUUUAUUGAAGACUAACUACUGCGAAAGCAUUUGCCAAGGAUGUUUUCAUUAAUCAAGAACGAAAGUUAGGGGAUCGAAGACGAUCAGAUACCGUCGUAGUCUUAACCAUAAACUAUGCCGACUAGGGAUCGGAUGAUGUUAAUUUUUUAAUGACUCAUUCGGCGCCUUACGGGAAACCAAAGUGUUUGGGUUC